rnacentral:lncRNA from 1 species
CCGCUUGGACUGCGAUGCUUCCUCUGAGAGAGUGAAGCUGGGAUGCCAGGAAUGGUGGGUGGAGGAUCUCUCCGCUCUGAGGAUCGAUCUGUACGAGAGAGUCGUCACUGCCAUGAGGAAAUCAGGGGUCAGAUCAGACAGCAUUGUGGCGUCGAUCAUCCACUAUGCGCAGAGCUAUCUCAAGGACAUCGGUAAGAAUAAUUCCUGCAAUGGCGGAUUGGUUCCUGCGGAAGAACACAGAGCGAUCGUGGAGACGCUGGUGACCCUACUGGUAUCGGAGGAGAUUUCCUCCGUCCCUCUCACCUUCCUGUUCGGAAUUCUGAGAAUGGCGAUCGUGGUGGAUGCGCCUCUCCCCUGCAGGCUCGAGCUCGAGAAGAGGAUCGGAUCCCAGCUGGAGAUGGUGACUCUGGAUGAUCUCCUCAUCCCUUCGCUGCAGACCUCCGAUUCC